CAACUCACCCCUUCCCUGGACAGAUUCUACCUGGCAUGCUUUGCCCCCAAAGCUCUCCCUCUUCCCAGAGUGAUGCACAGAUCAGAACCACCAACGGCAGAAGGUCUGGGAAGCCUGAGGAGUGGUAAGACUGGAAACGUGCAAAGAAAAAAUGGUAAAAAAUCUAUCAAAGAAUGCAAGGACAACAGUAAGACACAGGACCCCCCAUCUCUAAGAACACCUUUUGCCGGCUACCAUUCCGAGAGGAAAACGAGUAUAAAAGCAGGACUGAGUUUUUCUGAAAUUGUCAACACAGGGUUGGUAAUACAUAUUAAGCAGGACCUGGUG
rnacentral:lncRNA from 1 species